rnacentral:rRNA from 1 species
GAUGAACGCUGGCGGCGUGCUUAACACAUGCAAGUCGAACGGAAAGGCUCCUGCUUGCAGGGGUACUCGAGUGGCGAACGGGUGAGUAACACGUGGGUGAUCUGCCAUGCACUUCGGGAUAAGCAUGGGAAACUGGGUCUAAUACCGGAUAGGACCACAUUUUGGAUGGUGUGGUGGAAAGUUUUUCGGUGUGGGAUGAGCUCGCGGCCUAUCAGCUUGUUGGUGGGGUAAUGGCCUACCAAGGCGUCGACGGGUAGCCGGCCUGAGAGGGUGUACGGCCACAUUGGGACUGAGAUACGGCCCAGACUCCUACGGGAGGCAGCAGUGGGGAAUAUUGCACAAUGGGCGCAAGCCUGAUGCAGCGACGCCGCGUGGGGGAUGACGGCCUUCGGGUUGUAAACUCCUUUCGCUAGGGACGAAGCGCAAGUGACGGUACCUGGAGAAGAAGCACCGGCUAACUACGUG